rnacentral:piRNA from 1 species
UGGAAUAACAGUACCUCUAGGGACCAAAUU